rnacentral:rRNA from 1 species
UACGAAGGGGGCUAGCGUUGCUCGGAAUCACUGGGCGUAAAGGGUGCGUAGGCGGGUCUUUUAAGUCAGGGGUGAAAUCCUGGAGCUCAACUCCAGAACUGCCUUUGAUACUGAGGAUCUUGAGUUCGGGAGAGGUGAGUGGAACUGCGGGUGUAGAGGUGAAAUUCGUAGAUAUUCGCAAGAACACCAGUGGCGAAGGCGGCUCACUGGCCCGAUACUGACGCUGAGGCACGAAAGCGUGGGGAGCAAACAGGG